CCCCCAGCCCCCCCCAGCCUAAAGAACUCCGCUUCGUCCCCUGCCCCCGCCCGUCCUAACCCUGGUGAGUACUGCAUUACCUCCUAAAUUCUCUACCUCUACUCUCAUCUAUAUACAGAAUUGAGAACGAAAAUCUUUUUCUUUCGAUACCAUUCUGGAGGAAAACUGGGACAGAAGCGUACAAUGCAAUAUGCCACCCAAGUGUGAAACCCACGUGUGUGGAUCGACUGAGUGGAACCAGAAGAGAGAAGGGUCUCUGAGAACGUUCAGAAGCAUGAAUUCGGAGGCGUGGCCAGCACCAACUACGGAUGGAUUUGAUGUCCUACUCAGGUCCGCAUUCCGUGGGGUUUGGCGGCAGGUUGCCUGGCGGGUGGACAAAACUUGUUCAAAGAAGUAGAACUGAAUCAGGUGUAACUCGAACAGAACUUUUCUACCA